CCUACGGGUGGCAGCAGUGAGGAAUAUUGGUCAAUGGCCGGAGGGCUGAACCAGCCAAGCCGCGUGAGGGAUGACGGUCCAAAGUAUCGUAAACCUCUUUUGUCAGGGAGCAAAGGGUGCGACGCGUGGCGUUUUGCGAGUACCUGAAGAAAAAGCAUCGGCUAACUCCGUGCCAGCAGCCGCGGUAAUACGGAGGAUGCGAGCGUUAUCCGGAUUUAUUGGGUUUAAAGGGUGCGCAGGCGGACUGUUAAGUCAGCGGUAAAAUUUCGGGGCUCAACCCCGGCGUGCCAUUGAAACUGGCGUUCUUGAGUUGGCGAGAAGUAUGCGGAAUGCGUGGUGUAGCGGUGAAAUGCAUAGAUAUCGCGCAGAACUCCGAUUGCGAAGGCAGCAUGCCGGCGCUCAACUGACGCUCAUGCACGAAAGCGUGGGUAUCGAACAGGAUUAGAUACCCCAGUAGUC
rnacentral:rRNA from 1 species